rnacentral:misc_RNA from 1 species
AACCUCACUGAAUCUGGACUAUUCUGUGUAUUGCCAUGGCUGACCAUGGCCGUAUUUGCAAAUUUAGGUGGUUGGAUUGCCGAUACACUUGUGAGCAAAGGAUUCUCCAUAACAUCAGUUCGUAAGAUUAUGCAAUCGAUUGGUUUUCUGGGCCCUGCUUUUUUCCUUACGCAAUUAAGCCAUGUGAAGACUCCUGCGUUUGCAGUGCUGUGCAUGGCGUGCAGUCAGGGAUCGGAUGCCUUCUCUCAAUCUGGCCUCUACUCUAAUCACCAAGACAUUGGACCACGUUAUGCUGGAGUGUUGUUGGGAUUAUCUAAUACUGCUGGUGUGCUAGCUGGCGUCUUUGGUACAGCUGCAACCGGAUACAUACUACAGAAAGGUUCUUGGGAUGAUGUAUUUAAGGUUGCUGUUGUAUUAUACAUCAUAGGCACGUUAGUCUGGAAUUUCUUCUCAACCGGAGAGAGGAUCCUCGAGUAGAUAAUCUUUGUUGCCCAGUGAAAGUGCAAACGAUCAUAAAAUAUAGUCAAGAGAACAAGAGUUGCCUAUGGGAAGUUUCUCCUUAAAGGUGCUCUCUACUAGCAUAAAAACUUUGAACCAUGCUUCGUUAGUAGCUAUCUGGGUAAUUUGACCAUGUAAAUGUUGUUAUGUUUACUGGCAUGAAUUUUCCGUAGAAGCCUGGAGACAUUUCUU